rfam:Neurospora crassa OR74A unplaced genomic scaffold supercont12.8, whole genome shotgun sequence.
UAUUUAAUUAAUUCUAUUAAUAGUUAUAUAUUUAUUUUAAAGAUUAAACUAUAUAUAUUUAAAUUUAAGUAAUUAAAUUGCGAAAUUACGAAUAGCUUAUUAAAUUAGUUAUAAUUUAUUUAAUAGUACCUUAUUAUAUAGAUAACCGUAGUAAUUCUAGAGCUAAUAUAUACUAAAAACCCCGACUUCGGAAGGGGUAUAUUUAUUAGAUUAAAAACUAAUAUUUUUCGGGGUUAAUUAGUAAUUUAUAAUAAUUUUUUAAAUUGUAUGGCCUUGCGCUAGCGAUGGUUUAUUUAAAUUUCUACUUUAUUAAUUUUCGAUAGCUAGGUUUUAACUAGUUAUAGUAAUAACGGGUAAUAGAGGGUUAGGGCUCGACUCUGGAGAAGGAGCCUAAGAAACGGUUAUUAUAUUUAAGGAAGGUAGUAGGUGUGUAAAUUACCUAAUCCUAAUAUAGGGAGGUAGUAAUAAUAAAUAUUAAUAUAAGGCUCUUUUAGGUCUUAUAAUUGGAAUAAAUAUAAUUUAAAUCCCUUAAUGAAGAAUAAUUGGAAGGUAAGUUUAGUAUUAGUAACUGCGGUAAUUCUAGCUCUAAUAGCGUAUAUUAAAAUUAUUAAAGUUAAAAAACUCGUAAUUAAACCUUAAGCUCGGCCCGUCGGUCCGCUUUACUACGUAUACUAAUUAGGUUGGGCCUUUUUUCCUAGAGAACUAUAUACCCUUUACUAGGUAUAUUGGGGAACUAGGACUUUUAUUAUAAAUAAAUUAAAUUGUUUAAAGAAAGCCUAUAUUCGAAUAUAUUAGUAUAGAAUAAUAAAAUAGGAUAUAUAAUUCUAUUUUGUUAGUUUCUAAGACCGUUGUAAUAAUUAAUAGGGAUAAUUGGGGGUAUUAAUAUUUAAUUAUUAAAAGUGAAAUUCUUAGAUUUAUUAAAGACUAAUUACUACGAAAGUAUUUAUUAAAAAUAUUUUUAUUAAUUAGGAAUGAAAGUUAGGGGAUUGAAGAUAAUUAAAUACUAUUGUAAUUUUAAUUAUAAAUUAUAUUAAUUAGGGAUUGGAUAGUAUUAUUUUUUAACCCGUUCGGUACCUUAUAAUAAAUUAAAAUAUUUAGGCUCUUAGGGGAAUAUAGUUGUAAGGCUAAAAUUUAAAGAAAUUAACGGAAGGGUACUAUUAGGGGUGGAGCCUACGGCUUAAUUUAAUUUAAUACGGGGAAAUUUAUUAGGUUUAAAUACAAUAAAGAUUAAUAAAUUAAGAGCUCUUUUUUAAUUUCGUAAGUAGUAGUAUAUAACUAUUUUUAAUUAGUAGAGUAAUUUAUUUAUUUAAUUAUAAUAAUAAAUAAGACCUUAACUUGCUAAAUAGCUUAUAUUACUUUAGUAGUAUAUUAGCUUUUUAGAGGGAUUAUCGGUUUAAAUUGAUAGAAAUUUAAAGUAAUAAUAAAUUUAUAAUACCCUUAAAUAUUUUAGGCUGUAUGCGCGCUAUAUUAAUAUAGUUAGCGAGUACUCCCUUGGCCGGAAGGUCCGGGUAAUCUUAUUAAACUAUAUUAUAUUAGGGAUAGAGUAUUAUAAUUAUUGCUCUUUAAUAAGGAAUCCUUAGUAAAUAUAAAUUAUUAAUUUAUAUUAAUUAUAUCCCUACCCUUUAUAUAUAUUGCCUAUUGCUAUUAUUAAUUAAAUAAUUUAAUAAAGUUUCUAGAUUAGCCUAGGGAGGUUAGUAACGAUUAUUUAAGGCUGGAAAACUAUCUAAACUUAAUUAUUUAAAAGAAAUAAAAGUCGUAAUAAGGUCUCCGUUAGUGAACUAGCGGAGGGAUUAUUA